ACGCUCGACACCUAGGCAGCAGUGGGGAAUAUUGCACAAUGGAGGAAACUCUGAUGCAGCGAUGCCGCGUGAGGGAAGAAGGUUUUCGGAUUGUAAACCUCUGUCUUUGGGGACGAUAAUGACGGUACCCAAGGAGGAAGCUCCGGCUAACUACGUGCCAGCAGCCGCGGUAAUCUGAGCGGGCUGGCAAGGC
rnacentral:rRNA from 1 species